GCAUCUAGCAAUCAGAGCAGCGGGGAAGACGACGGCUGCAACGGCGCACGCCCGAUCGGCCAGCCUGCCACACGAACACCCGCACCCCGUGCGCACCUGGACGACAGCAUCCGCGCGCUCAGGUCAUGGUCGGACAGAGGAGCCGCCGGUCAGUCCUCCGGCAUCGCCCUCGUCGAUGUCGUCCUGGCAGCGCUCGAUGAGCUCCUGGCGCUGCCGCAGGCUGUGGCAGCACUCCACACAGCCACCGCCGCUUGCGACCAAAUCCUCGAAAGGUUCCUUGUGCUUGCUGACGCCUAUGGCACAUUCCUGUCCACGUUCGUCAUGCUCAGGCAGAGCGUGGCAGAGCAGCAGGUCGGCACUAGGCGCGGGGACAGCAUGAUGGUCGCUGCAUCGCUUCGUGCACACAGGCGGACAGAGAAGGAGCUGUGCCGCCUCGUCACCACGAUGCGACAUGCCGCCAGGGUAGCUGCGGCCACUGUGGAAGCAUCGGAGGCCAUCUUCAUGGAGUGUGCAGCAAUGUCACCGGACAUGCAAGUGCCUUCAAACAAGUGGCUGGCCAGGCUGAGUGUCAGGCCGUCCGGCAAGAAGGCAGCACCGGAGACAGCGAUGGUGGCGUUGGAGAGGCUAGAGAAGCUAGAGGAAUCCAUUGGUCGGCUGGAGACCGGAAGUGAGAAGGUUUUCAGAAGACUGCUGCAGUCUAGAGUUUCACUUCUGAACAUCCUUACUCCCUUCUAA
rnacentral:rRNA from 1 species